rnacentral:lncRNA from 1 species
AAUAAGUAUUGUCUGCUAAUUGCUAAAGCUUUGACAAUUUAAGCAAUAUUUCGUACGGUCUUAUUGAAACUUAAGUAAGUGCUCUGAAAAUGGAUCAACCUCCUGAAGACCCAGAUUUAAAUGAGUCGAAAAAGAAAGAUGAAAAGAACGCCAAAAAGAUAUUGCAGCGGUUGGGUGAGCCUAAUAGAGGUUCAAACCUCAGACAACAAUCAAAUCUUUCAUUUUUCAAGCCCAAAGCUUCUCAGUUCUAAAACCCACAAGCCAAACUCUAGUUCAUGUAGGUAGAUGGCAUCAAAUCAAAUAACAACGUACAUAACAGAUGAUUUUCCACCUGCGGAUGUAGAAGCUGCUGGUCAUCCAGCAGCUGCACCGCUGGAAGGCUUGGACUUGUUUCAGAAUGUAACGAAUCCAACUGAAACUACUGUUGAUGUUGAUGAGAUGAGGAACUCAGGAAAGAAAGACUGAAAGGCAAAGAAUGGCAGUCAAGAAAUGAAGCUCUUCAUGGAGCUUGGACAACAGAAAUACAGACUAUUUUCGUUAAUGCCGAACUCAAGAGGAGAAGUCAGUUUCAUAGUGUGUGCACUGUGUGCAAGAAAAGUGGCCGAAUCCUCGUAUGCUGUUAUGAUUGUAAGCAACAUUUAUGCUGGGAAUGUGAUUAUGCAUUCCAUUUUUUCAAUCCACUUCAUGCCAGAGUUUAUAAAAUAAGUAAAAACUACUCAACUGAGCAACUAUUACCAACCGAGUUUAUGAACGAGUUUGGUCAAAAAAUUGAGAAAGACGUUCCUGUAACUUGCUUCCCUCUUUCCAGGUGUUGGAGUUGUAGCUGGACACUUGUGUAUUAAAUACCGGAACCAACGAUGUUAUACUGUUAUCACAGUUAAAAAGGAAGGUUCGAUUUAAAGUCUGCCAGUUUCAGCUGCACUUCUUGCGUGUAGGGAGGCCCUCGAUGAAGAGUACGUUUAUUCAGAAUGGCUACCAGGUAAACCAGGAAAGGAUAAGGAAGAACCUGCUAAUCUCUUUUUUGAUGAACAUCUUUUGGAUACCUGUACGAAAUUCAAAACAAUACUCCUGGAACAUCACAAGAAAUGUUUCUGAAGUCUUUCUCAAAUGUCUACUCAAAAUGGCCAGCCAAGUUACAUCAAUCCAAUUCUGUUUUUUAAAGCCUAUGAUGAGAAUAAUCUAAUGAAGUGCAUUCAUCUCGUUCAGUUCUUACAAUAAUAAAUCAGUGAACAAUU